GACGAACGCUGGCGGCGUGCCUAAUACAUGCAAGUAGAACGCUGAAGAGAGGAGCUUGCUCUUCUUGGAAGAGUUGCGAACGGGUGAGUAACGCGUAGGUAACCUGCCUUGUAGCGGGGGAUAACUAUUGGAAACGAUAGCUAAUACCGCAUAACAAUGGAUGACACAUGUCAUUUAUUUGAAAGGGGCAAAUGCUCCACUACAAGAUGGACCUGCGUUGUAUUAGCUAGUAGGUGAGGUAACGGCUCACCUAGGCGACGAUCCAUAGCCGCCCUGGGAGGGUGAUCGGCCACACUGGGACUGAGACACGGCCCAGACUCCUACGGGAGACAGCAGUAGGGAAUCUUCGGCAAUGGGGGCAACCCUGACCGAGCAACGCCGCGUGAGUGAAGAAGGUUUUCGGAUCGUAAAGCUCUGUUGUAAGUCAAGAACGAGUGUGAGAGUGGAAAGUUCACACUGUGACGGUAGCUUACCAGAAAGGGACGGCUAACUACGUGCCAGCCGCCGCCGUAA
rnacentral:rRNA from 1 species